rnacentral:misc_RNA from 1 species
UGGAGAUGCAGUCGGCGAUGAUGGUAUAAAGCAGGCUCAUAGCUUUGAGAAAUACCAUCUAGACGUGAUAGACUCAGGAUGUGAAACAGAAGUUCAGGAGAAGGGCAUCGUCGGGACUAGCUAUGUUGAGAAUUCUGUCACGUAUGAUAAGUCUGAAGGACUCGCCUUUCGUAAGGCAAGCUCAGUUUUACUCAGCAAAGAGG